rnacentral:rRNA from 1 species
GUCCUAAGGUAGCGAAAUUCCUUGUCGGGUAAGUUCCGACCUGCACGAAUGGCGUAAUUAUGGCCAGGCUGUCUCCACCCGAUACUCAGUGAAAUUGAACUCGCUGUUAAGAUGCAGUGUACCCGCGGCAAUACGGAAAGACCCCGUGAACCUUUACUAUAGCUUGACACUGAACACGGGUCCUUGAUGUGUAGGAUAGGUGGGAGGCUUUGAAGCGUGGAAGCCAGUCUGCGUGGAGCCAUCCUUGAAAUACCACCCUUUAAUGGCGGGUGUUCUAACGUAGACCCGUGAUCCGGGUUGCGGACCGUGUCUGGUGGGUCGUUUGACUGGGGCGGUCUCCUCCCAACGAGUAACGGAGGAGCACGAAGGUUGGCUAAUCCUUGUCGGACAUC